rnacentral:rRNA from 1 species
CGGUAAUUCCAGCUCCAGGAGUGUCUAUGGUUUUUGCUGCGAUUAAAAGGUCCGUAGUCAGUAUUUACGAUGAGUGUGUAAAAUAUGUGGUCAAUACAUAUGAAUAUUUAUACCGUGAAUUAAAUUGGGAGCGGCCAGAGGGUAAGGAAUCGGGAGACGAGGGGUGAAAUCUGAUGACUCUUCCGGGGCGAUCGGAGGCGAAGGCGUUACCCAGGUGCGAUUCUGACGAUCAAGGACGUAGGCUGGAGGAUCGAACACGAUUAGAUACCGUAGUAGUUCCAGCAGUAAACUAUAUAUAUGCCGAUGCACGUUUAUUUUUGUGUGUCGGAAGGGAAACUAAAUAGUAUUUCGGGGAGAGUACGCGCGCAAGCGAUAAAUUUAAACGAAAUUGACGGAAGAACACCACAAGGAGUGGAGUGUGCGGCUUAAUUUGACUCAACGCGGGACAGCUUACCAGGGCGGAGGAUUGUACGAGCGAAUACGCGAUAAAUCUGGGAGUGGUGCAUGGCCGUUAUAGAUGGGUGUAGUUAUAUAUUUGUUAAUUUAUGUAAUGUUUUGUGAGACGUACGUUAUAAGCAUAUUAAUAUGUUUAUCAGACAGGUAUUAAAGAUACAGGAAGGAGUACGCAAGAACAGGUCAGUGAUGCCCUCAGAUGUCCUGGGCUGCACGCGCACUACAUUAGCUAAGAUAAUGUUUUUAUAGAGUGAAAUUUAGUUAUGAGGGAUUGGGCGCUGUAAGGCGCGCAUGAACGUGGAAUUGCUAGUAAUCGUGAGUUCAGUAGAGCGCGAUGAAUGUGUCCCUGUUCUUUGUACACACCGCCCGUCGUUAUCGAAGAUGGGGCUGCGUACAAACGAAUUUUGAUGAGUGAGUGCGUGGUUCUAGAUCUGAUACAAGUCGUAAAAGGGUAACC